AUGAAGGCGGCAAAGAAGCAGGUUCCCCGAGAGUCCCUGACCUUUGUGCUGCGCGGGCACCGGGCCCCGCUCCGAGAGAAACGAAGUGAAUUUCUCAGUAAUACUCAGAAAACUGCCCAUGGCCAGCAUCAUAAUUCUCAUGUAUUAGUCAGCAAUCGGGCCUCUUCGAACAAUCUGGAAGAUACUUCAUGGAAUCAAGAAGAAGAAAUGGCUAGAUUGUCUUCUCGGGAGGAUGAUCCCAGGAUUGAUGACUUAGAAGAAAGUUUACAGAAGUUGAAGGUCCAAGAGGGCAGCUUGGCCUCCAGGUGGAAUUCUGCUUCUGACACAGAAGAUGCUACCAGUUCAGAUGCCACCGACCUCUGGAGCCCUGGCCAGUCUCAGUGGCCUGAAGGUCAAAGUACCCCAUCUCCUCUAGGGGAGAAAGAAGCCCUGCCAAAGGCACCCAUAGAUUGGGAAUGGUUUCUGAGUCCACAAAGCUUGGCCAGCCCAUUGGGAAACUACUCACGUCUGAGGACUUUAGGCCUUCCAUCGAGGUCCCUGUCUCCAGGCGACUACACGGCAAGCCUUCUGGAAAGGGGGAUUUUGACUCGUAGCUGCCUACCAUCUGUGGCCUUGGUGAUGGAUGGAUCUCCUGCACAGUCUAACCCCCCUAAACUAGGAGCACCUCAUGUGAUCGGUGUGAAGUCCCUGCUGCCACCCAAGAUUCCGGAUGCGAUGGGUCCGAUCUCGUUCUCAGUCCCCCAGGCCCAUGUGGAGACCCAACUCUACCAAUGGCAAAGCUUGUGCACAGCCCCCACCCCAGUUCAUCCCACCUGGGGGAAGGAGGAAGAAAACUUCUCUGACCAGACCAGCACGGUCUCGAAUUUAUAA
rnacentral:lncRNA from 1 species